UACCCAAAAAGAGUCCAAAUGUGACAUCACAGUGGGAGAGAAAGCUGAACCAGUGGUUCGGAGGCAGGCCUACCUCCGAAAUCAGACCCUGAAAAUGCGAUUUUUGCAUAAUAUGUAACCUUUAACUUCCACACAGACAGUUGUCCAGAAAAGGAGGAACUAUCAGUUACACCCCAGGGUGCAGUGAGGAAGAACAGCACGGAUCCCAAUGGAAGCCGAGUACAAAGUAAGCAUUGUUUGUGUGACUGAUCUUGGCGCUGGAGUGAAGUGAAGUUGUAAGACUUGUGUCCAACCCCCUUCAGCACAAAGAAAUUUAGAGGAGCACUAUGGAGACGUGGAGGGGUAAGACGGAUCAAUUCUUUAUCUGACUCCCUGUUGUCUUUCCAUGAGCAAAGGCCUGAAUACCAGGCAUGUCAGAGCACCCUAAGCACUUUG